AGGGGCACGAACUAUGUAUGGUUUGAUUUGACGAUUCUAUUGGAGAUAUGUGGAUUUAAUUGGUGCUAUACAUUUUGUUUUUCAUUUUUGCUGCUUGCUGUAUUUACUGAUAGGAAUGCCUAAAAAUAGUCCACUUAGUACCAACUGACUGUCAAUACUUUACUGACGCUAGUAGAAAUACAUGAAAAUACUCCCCGUAGAAUUUGCAUGAAAGUGUCACUCAUUAUCGGAUUUGGUUGGGAACAAGGUUUGAUAUACUAGAGGAUGUUCAGGUUGAUGCUGUCCAAAAGAUAGACAUGUAGUAGACACCGGGAUGAUAUUGUGAUUUUCGCUUCUGAAGCUGGCUCAACUUAUUGGUAAAGUUGCCUGAGAAUGCAGGACUUAAUAUUUACUACUGUCACUACUUUACUUGGAAGUGUCACUCUUGAAUCUUGAGUUUUAAUGGGAUCAAGGCUUGAUUUAUUUGAAGAGAUGCCAGAUUGAAGACUAACAUAUAGUAGGACCACUAAAGCAUCGGUAGAGUUUAUGGGCACUCUAAAUGAUGUUCCAUUAAUAAAAUGCCUUUAGCUCUAUUUUCCAUUAUGGAACCGGCUGUACUUGGUGCUGCCACGAAUAAUGAGGACGAAGAGAACCUGACUGAAGAAAGAGUUAACUGAACAAGUUUCAGAACAAGUGCAAAGGAGAUCAAAAAGGGAAAGGCAUAGAGCAACAUGCUACACUGGCAAUGAUUGGGUCAAGAGUGCUGCCUUGCUGCACAUCUGCAAUACUUGGUCAGCCUCAUGUCUAAUUCCAUCAGAUGUAUCAGCUGAAUUGAGCCACUUCAUGGAUUAUAUUGGUGGCCCAUGAGGUAGCCAUUUUAUCUGAAGAUACAUGUCACUUGAUGUUUGGAUGGAGUACAUGCUACAAUGUCUUCACUUUAGGAUCACUCUCUAAGUUCCUAAAGUCACAUACUUCCAUUAUUUUGCCCAUGUCAAACUACUCUUUUGGUUAGCCUGAUGGAUAAAAUGUGGCGGAUAAUACUUGUGACAGCAAUUAUUAUGUUCCCAUGAAAUUAACCCUUUUAUUCUUUGUUAGUUAUCAUCUAGAAUACUUGUUUCAUAUAUCUGUUCUGCCAGCUGAAAUUGAUCAUGCUAGAUAACUGCCUUUCCUACACCACAACUUCUAUCCUUCUGAUAGAUUGUCGAAAUAUUUCGCCGGUUUGCUUCAAAUCCUAUUAAUCCACCCUGAAAUUACCAUUUUUAUCAGAAUCUACACCUAUCUUGCUUCAAAUUGACUGCCUUUAUGAAAAUUUGUUCAUGCCUGAUAGAUUAAUAUUCUUUCUUCUCAGUUGAUCUGAUAAAAAAAGACCCACCUUGUAAGAUUGCCUUUAUCAGAAUUCUAUUGAUCCACCUUGUAAGACUGGCCCUUCUAUGUUAAUGCAAACCUAUUAGUAUCAAUAGAACUACUAGGCUGGCUCUGCUUUUAUGAACGGACACUCUUCCUAAUGCAGUUAUGUCGUGCCUUAUAUUUUUGACCACCAACAUGCAACUGUCAUGCAUAUGCGUUUGUCUUCUUGCUAAACUAAGCCUAACAUGUUAACAAAUACGUCAGCUUGAUUACUACGCACAAUCCCGCCUUAAAAGGCGCCACAACGACGCGGACGACCGUCAGUUUAAACUGAGAUAUGUCAGAUCUGACCUUUAUUUCAUGACGUAUUCAUGUUCUUUCAGCAAAGCUGUUUUCUUAGUUCAGUCUCUGCGAGUUUUAUACUUCUGCGAUUCUGUAUAGAUUUAUGCCUUUUUAAUGCCUGCAUCCAUAGCAACCAUAUGCUAAUUUUCUUGCAUGGAAGCUGUUCUCUUUUCCUAUGAAACUCGAAUGCUAGUCUUUCUUUGAAAAUAAAUGCAUCUUCCAUUUUUGGAUCAUUAUCAAAGAAGCCACACAUCAGAAAUACUAUGAAGCAGCAGCAGCAGCAUCCAGUAGGCAGUAUCUCAGUUCCUUUGUGGUGGAUGGAUGGAUGGAGGGAGGGAGGGAGGUAAGGUGAGAUGAACUUGGUAGGCUACUGCGUUUGGUUUGUUUGGGUAGAAACAUUCUUGACCACUGACUCAUAGCUGACUUGUGAUGAUCUGGCAAGGAGAUCUCUCUGACAAUUCCAAGAUGGCGUUGAAGAAGCAAUCGAUUGUGAUGUUCUUUGUUGUAUGCUAUACUCGGUGUCAAAGGACAAUUGCAAGACUACCAUGACAUGAUUUGCACUGUAAGAUUGAUGGACCACCUAUUUUGAGCAAAGUUGGACUUUUUUUAGAGGGAUGCCUUUCCAUGAUUUAUCACGUUGACGUCAUGACCACAGCUCCAGUCAUGGUACUUUCCUUGUGGACAAAACUUUGCUCAGCUAAUCUUCGUAACCAUUUUAUUUAAUGAUAUGGCAUGUGGCAAUUGCAUAUAGAAAAGGGGCUUAUUCGUUCAUGGAACUUGGGGAGAUACGAUCUUUGAUAUUUGAGCGUCUUAAUUUUUUUCAUCUUCUUGUCAUGUACCAUUUGAAACUACAUUCUUGUAUAAAGUACUUACCAUUUAAUGGACUUGUGUAGAAUCUUGUGUGCCGAAAGAACCUCAUCAUUGAUAAGAGCAUUCUGGGCAAUCA